GCUCUCGUAGAUAUCCGGAUCAUAAGUAUAAUCAGGAGGAGGCAAAUCAACCCAAUCAGAAGGAACGCGCGCCAGGUUAUAAGAACUGUCGGAUCUCUCGCUCACGCUCUGGCUCUGAGAGGUGUCCUCUGAUUGUGUAGAGGCCCAUCCAAAUAUGGCGGAAGCAAAAUCCAAUGCACCAUAUCCAUAUUCGUUAGGCUGAGGCUGUGGAUAAUAGAAUCGGUAUCCGUAUGCUAUCGGAUCUGCAGUCGUAUCCUGUCUUCCUGAACGACCUCGAGGAGCCCGUCUUCUAUAUCCAAUGAUAUCCUCACGAAAUCUAUUAGGUGGUCGACCGUGGUCCGUAUCCUGUGUAGCACCCGUAAAUUGGGACUCAUCGGUGAAAUAAAGACCACCCUCCGGCUGUGUCUCAUGAGUACCAUACU
rnacentral:lncRNA from 1 species